CCGAAGCGCGGUCCGGCCGAGUUCAAAAUACUGCAAAUCGCCGUCACCGCCAUGUUGGCAUUGUGGAGAACCGACACGAGUAAAGUCACAAUAAUUUGCGUUGCAGUACAAAACCAACGAGGGCGACGGGCGUAACAGAAGACGCCGGAGAGGACGUGAAUGAGACGCCGCGAACAGGAAGAUGGACAUUGUUGAGCUCGAGGUCUCUACUGCCCUGCCAGCACUUUCGGAUCAGGAAGUCUCCACAGUUCUUGCAAAAUUAAAAGAAAUCGGUGUUCAAACAGGGGAAGAUUUGAGGUUCUUAGAAGAGCCAGACCUUCGUGGGGUGCUGAAACCAAUACAGAUUAGGAGAUUCCUCUCCACAGUAAAGAGAGGUGAUGGCUCUGUUCCUGAGUCAGGUUCCUCUUUUAGCACGACACCACCUUGCACAUCUCCUUUGCAAGUCCCCUCAGUGCCGGACACCCAACAACAUCAGUGUGAAAGCAAAGCUUCGAACGUGGACCCCAACUGGCCAGUAAACUUCCAAGUUUGUUGGGAAAGCAUGCCACCACAACUAAUAUCCGCAGUGAAGAAAAAGGAGCGCCCGUCUAGCAGGCUGCGUCGUGAAAUGGUCCGUCUGGUAGUUGACCAAGCCAGAACCAUG